rnacentral:tRNA from 2 species
GCUUCGCUAGCGCAAUUGGCAGAUGCACUCCGCUUAGAACGGAGAGGUUCCGGGUUCGAAUCCCGGGUGAAGCA